ACGGGUGCGUAACACGUGAGCAACUUGCCCUAAGGUGGGGGAUAGCCGGCCCAACGGCCGGGUAAUACCGCAUAUGGCAUCGAGGUCACAUGGCCUUGGUGGGAAAGCGGCCGCAAGGUCGCGCCAGAGGAGGGGCUCGCGACGUAUCAGCUAGUUGGCGGGGUAACGGCCCACCAAGGCUACGACGCGUAGCUGGUCUGAGAGGAUGGCCAGCCACAUUGGGACUGAGAUACGGCCCAGACUCCUACGGGAGGCAGCAGUGGGGAAUAUUGCGCAAUGGCCGCAAGGCUGACGCAGCGACGCCGCGUGUGGGAUGAAGGCCUUCGGGUUGUAAACCACUGUCGGGAGGGGCGAAUACCUGGCUUCGAAUAGGAGACCAGGGGUGACGGUACCUCCAAAGGAAGCACCGGCUAACUCCGUGCCAGCAGCCGCGGUAAUACGGAGGGUGCGAGCGUUGUCCGGAAUCACUGGGCGUAAAGGGCGCGUAGGCGGCCGUGUAAGUCACUUGUGAAAUCCCGGGGCUCAACUCCGGGGCUGCAGGUGAGACUGCGUGGCUAGAGCACGGUAGAGGCGAGUGGAAUUCCCG
rnacentral:rRNA from 1 species